AGAGUUUGAUCAUGGCUCAGGACGAACGCUGGCGGCGUGCUUAACACAUGCAAGUCGAACGGGGUGGAUUAGCAAUAAUCCCAUCUAGUGGCGGACGGGUGAGUAACGCGUGAGGAACCUGCCUUCAAGAGGGGGGAUAACAUCGAGAAAUCGAUGCUAAUACCGCAUAAGACCACAUUGCCGCAUGGCAAAGGGGUCAAAGCUAUUGCGCUUGAAGAUGGACUCGCGUCCCAUUAGCUAGUAGGCGGGGUAACGGCCACCUAGGCAACGAUGGGUAGCCGAGCUGAGAGGCUGAUCGGCCACACUGGGACUGAGACACGGCCCAGACUCCUACGGGAGGCAGCAGUGGGAAUAUUGGUCAAUGGGCGCAAGCCUGAACCAGCCAUCCCGCGUGCAGGAUGACGGCCCUAUGGGUUGUAAACUGCUUUUGUACACCAAGAAAAGUCGUGACGUGUCACGAUCUGACGGUAGUGUAUGAAUAAGCAUCGGCUAACUACGUGCCAGCAGCCGCGGUAAUACGUAGGGGGCGAGCGUUAUCCGGAUUUACUGGGUGUAAAGGGUGCGUAGGCGGCUUGGUAAGUCAGAAGUGAAAUUUAGGGGCUCAACCCCUAAGCUGCUUCUGAAACUGCCGAGCUAGAGUGUGGGAGAGGAAAGUGGAAUUCCGAGUGUAGCGGUGAAAUGCGUAGAGAUUCGGAGGAACACCAGUAGCGAAGGCGGCUUUCUGGACCAUAACUGACGCUGAGGCACGAAAGCGUGGGGAGCAAACAGGAUUAGAUACCCUGGUAGUCCACGCUGUAAACGAUGAAUGCUAGGUGUUGGGGCUCACGGGUCUCGGUGCCGAAGUUAACACAUUAAGCAUUCCACCUGGGAAGUACGAUCGCAAGAUUGAAACUCAAAUGA
rnacentral:rRNA from 1 species